CCUACGGGUGGCAGCAGUGGGGAAUAUUGCGCAAUGGGGGAAACCCUGACGCAGCAACGCCGCGUGCAGGAAGAAGGUCUUCGGAUUGUAAACUGUUGUCGCAAGGGAAGAAGACAGUGACGGUACCUUAUGAGAAAGUCACGGCUAACUACGUGCCAGCAGCCGCGGUAAUACGUAGGGGACAAGCGUUGUUCGGGAUGACUGGGCGUAAAGGGCGCGUAAGCGGUGGUAGAAGUUAGUUGUGAAAUACCCAGGGCUUAACUUGGGUGCUGCGUUUAAAACUGUAUUUAUUGAGUACCGGAGAGGAAAGUGGAAUUCCUAGUGUAGCGGUGGAAUGCGUAGAUAUUAGGAGGAACACCAGAGGCGAAGGCGGCUUUCUGGACGACAACUGACGCUGAGGCGCGAAAGUGUGGGGAGCAAACAGGAUUAGAUACCCCAGUAGUC
rnacentral:rRNA from 1 species